UGGGAUCUAAAUAUAUUUAAUAUUAUCUUUUUACAUAAUAGAACAACUGUAAAAUGAAAGAAGUAUUAAACCAUAAUAUUACUAUUAGGAAAAAUAUAUGGGAAAUUAUAGAAUGAUAUUUAGAUUCUAA
rnacentral:rRNA from 1 species